UACGAAGGGGGCGAGCGUUGUUCGGAUUUACUGGGCGUAAAGGGUGCGUAGGCGGCGCGGUAAGUCGGGUGUGAAAUCUUGGGGCUUAACCCCGAAACGGCACUCGAAACUGCCCGGCUGGAGGGCCGGAGAGGAGAUCGGAAUUCACGGUGUAGCAGUGAAAUGCGUAGAGAUCGUGAGGAAGACCCGUGGCGAAGGCGGAUCUCUGGAUGGCUAACUGACGCUGAGGCGCGAAGGCCAGGGGAGCAAACGGG
rnacentral:rRNA from 1 species